GACGAACGCUGGCGGCGUGCUUAACACAUGCAAGUCGAGCGGUAAGGCCCUUUCGGGGGUACACGAGCGGCGAACGGGUGAGUAACACGUGGGUGACCUGCCCUCAGCUCUGGGAUAAGCCUGGGAAACCGGGUCUAAUACUGGAUAUGACUCCAUGACGCAUGUUGUGGGGUGGAAAGCCUUGUGCGGCUGAGGAUGGGCCCGCGGCCUAUCAGCUUGUUGUGGGGUGAUGGCCUACCAAGGCGACGACGGUAGCCGGCCUGANAGGCGACGGCACACUGGGACUGAGACACGGCCCAGACUCCUAC
rnacentral:rRNA from 1 species